AUUGAACGCUGGCGGCAUGCUUUACACAUGCAAGUCGAACGGCAGCGCGGGCUUCGGCCUGGCGGCGAGUGGCGAACGGGUGAGUAAUGCAUCGGAACGUGCCCAGUAGUGGGGGAUAGCCCGGCGAAAGCCGGAUUAAUACCGCAUACGACCUGAGGGUGAAAGCGGGGGACCGAAAGGCCUCGCGCUAUUGGAGCGGCCGAUGUCGGAUUAGCUAGUUGGUGGGGUAAAGGCUUACCAAGGCGACGAUCCGUAGCUGGUCUGAGAGGACGACCAGCCACACUGGGACUGAGACACGGCCCAGACUCCUACGGGAGGCAGCAGUGGGGAAUUUUGGACAAUGGGGGCAACCCUGAUCCAGCCAUGCCGCGUGCGGGAAGAAGGCCUUCGGGUUGUAAACCGCUUUUGUUCGGGAAGAAAUCCUCUGGGCUAAUACCCCGGUGGGAUGACGUUACCGGAAGAAUAAGCACCGGCUAACUACGUG
rnacentral:rRNA from 1 species